UAGGGAAUCUUCGGCAAUGGACGAAAGUCUGACCGAGCAACGCCGCGUGAGUGAAGAAGGUUUUCGGAUCGUAAAACUCUGUUGUUAGAGAAGAACAAGGACGUUAGUAACUGAACGUCCCCUGACGGUAUCUAACCAGAAAGCCACGGCUAACUACGUGCCAGCAGCCGCGGUAAUACGUAGGUGGCAAGCGUUGUCCGGAUUUAUUGGGCGUAAAGCGAGCGCAGGCGGUUUCUUAAGUCUGAUGUGAAAGCCCCCGGCUCAACCGGGGAGGGUCAUUGGAAACUGGGAGACUUGAGUGCAGAAGAGGGGAGUGGAAUUCCAUGUGUAGCGGUGAAAUGCGUAGAUAUAUGGAGGAACACCAGUGGCGAAGGCGGCUCUCUGGUCUGUAACUGACGCUGGGGAUCGAAAGCGUGGGGAGCAAACGGG
rnacentral:rRNA from 1 species